rnacentral:lncRNA from 1 species
CGGAGACGUGCGGACGCGGGGAUUGGCCGUCGGGCGCACGCCCCGCCCUUCUGCGAAGGGGUCUGGGAAGUCUGGUCUUCUAGGAGCGAUACUCACAGCCCACUUGCGGCUCCUCCUUGCCGGAAUCUGCUUUCCGUGUCCUACCACAGGGUGUUGCGUUAACUUCUGGAUCUUGAGAAGGACUAAAAGCAGUGAAGCAGCAGGGGCUGAGGCUGGGGGUGCCUUAUAGACCUUUGUCUGAAGGGCAGGCUCUAACCGUGCUUUUGGCCUCUACCCUGCUUUCCGUUCUUUUUUCUCCCUGGUCUCCUCCCUGCCCUCUACUGUCUUUACUCAGUGUCUCUCUGGCCUUAAUGAAAGGAAAUACGGCAGGAUGAGGUCUGUGAACGGGUGCUGGGCAACCAGAUGUGUGAACCAGGAAAGACUGAAAACCCGGUUGGUGAUACCACAAAGCCUCCUGUAUGCACACGUGAUCUUUGGUUCUGUCAUUACUUCAGUGCUGUCAGGCAAUGGCAGGAAGAGCUUCCUCAGGGCUUGGUAAAACUCAUUCCCUUUUAGUUGACUAACAAGACUUUGAAUCAGAAAGCUAUCGCUGGAUUAGAGGGAGGAGCCUGCGAGCCGUUGAGGCAACCGCACAUCAAUCAGGAGAUCAGAAAACUGAGGUCAGAAAGGUAAACUGAUAGGCCUAUGCUAAAAGAGAAGUCUGGAGUCUGUGUUUUCUUGAACGUUUGAGACACUUCACCUUGAACUUUGAAUUUCUCGGCAGCUGCCAGCUGCGCUUGCUGAGAUAAAACCUCGAUCUUGGCUUCUCCCAAAACUGUGUAGGUACCUGAAGCUGGACUCUUGUAGACAUCUGGUUUUGUGAUGACUAAGAAGAUUUGCUUCGGUUUCUAGAUAGUGACUCUAAUAACCCCUGUAACCUGUCGAAGACCCAGUUUGGACAUAGCCUUCUGUGCCUUCUUUUCACUCCGGCUUUAUUUUGCCUUACUGACUGGUUGUUCAUGGUUUCCAGCUGCUGCUGCUAGGUCGGCUGCUUGUGUGGAAUCCUGCUCCUCAAGCUCGGAUACUGAUUCAUCACUGUCAGAUUCUGUUCCGGACCCUGUCUCAGCCUGGGUCUGUGGCAACUCUUGCUCUAUAGCAGGAACGGUUUCUGUGGCUUCCAUUUUGUGCAAAGAAUGCAGAACCUGUCUUUUUCGCUUUAAAGGAUAACAGCCAAUGAUGGUAUUAUCUU